rnacentral:lncRNA from 1 species
AGACGGUUCAGAUUCAGUUGGCCGAUUUCAGGAGGAAUCAACCCGGACAGUUGGUUGUCAGACAGGUCUAACUGCGUGAGUACAGGUAGAAAACCGAUUUCACUAGGAAUCGGUCCCGAGAUCUUAUUGUGACUGAGAUUCAGAGUGGUCAAGGAUUUCCAUGAAACGAUGUCUGUGGGAAGAAUCCCGGAGAGCUCGUUCUGAUCGAGCAAAAGCCCCGUCAGAAAAGGAAGCUCAGUCAAUUCAGCCGGAACCGUGCCACUGAGGAGGUUAUUACUAGCGUAAAAAAUCCUCACGUUCCUCCACGAAGACACCGUGCUCGGAAUCUUGCCGAAGAAUUUGUUGUUGCUUAUCUCGAUCUCAGUAAGGUUUGGGGACAGCUCCUCGGGAAGCUCGCCAGUUAAUCCAUUACCACUCAAAAUCAAAACCGUUAAGUUCCGUGACAUCCAAAAUCCACCAGGCACAUUGCCGGUGAAUCCAUUGUUUUGCAACAUCACAAAGGACAAAGUACUGCAAUUUCCAAGUGACUUCGGCAACUCCCCAUUGAGAUUGUUGUCCAUAGCGGCCAACCCGGAAAGUCUGCCACCAUGGCACAGUUGUUCCGGCAAUGCACCAGUCAAGUUGUUGAAGGCCACUUCGAAUCUUCUGAGCGGGGAAAACUUGCCAAAGUCUGGGGGGAUCGUGCCUGAUAGAUUGUUGUUGGACAGCCUGACAUCAGACAAAGCGGGAAGACGCCCAAUACCUUCCGGGAUUCCCCCGGACAAUUGAUUGAACUCUAAAUUCAAGCUGUAUAGAUUCUUGAGCUUUCCAAAAUCUUCAGGUAUGUUCUCCGUCAAAUUAUUAGCAGACAGAUCGAUCACGCUCAGGUUUGCGGCACUGACUGCCUGAGGGAUCGACCCAGACACAUUAGUCUGGUCCACGUACAACUCGCUCAAGUUCCUCAGAGCAAAAAUGCUGCCUGGGACCUCUCCGGUCAGUGGAUUUAUCCCCAAAUCCAAGUGCUCAAGAGCCUCCAUAUCGCUGAUAGUCUCCGGAAUUCCACCAUACAGGUUUGUCUGCGCCAUUGAGAAGAACCGCAGCUUCUUCAGGGCUGUGAAGUUCUGCGGUAGCUGCGAUCGCACGAACUUGUCGUUGUACUCAAGCCUCAGUUUUUCAAGAUUGGAGAGGCCAAAAAUUUCUUCAGGGUAAGUGCCGUUGUACUCGGACUGGUGAAGGUCAAGGAUCCUCAGCUUUGGCAGCCUAGCGAUAGACGCUGGGAUGUCAAACGAGAAGCUGUUGGCGGCGAGAAUCAGGACCUGAAGAUUGACCAUGCGGUCAAUAUCGGAUGGAAUAGGACCUUCGAAGUAAUUCUGGGACAGGUCAAGGUACAUGAGCUCGGAACAGUAAUAGAGAACUGUUGGAAACUCCCCAGGAAUAUUGUUGUUGGAGAGAUCGAGCUUGGUCAGGUUCUUGAGGUCGCAGAUGAAUGGGGGGAUCGAAUAAUUUAUGUUCAGGUUGACAAGAUUGAGCUCGGUGAUGGAGCCGUCUUGGCAGGUGAUCUCAGGCCAUGUGCAGUGGGAGGAUGAAUUGGAGGUGACCCAGUGGUCGAGGGAAGAUGGGUCCUGCCAGGAUUGCGUCAGCUUCAAGAGGACUUGCUGUUCUUGAUCUUGGAUUUGAGACUCUGCAACAUGGGAGAGGGAGCAGAGGAAGACGAGACACGGGAUGUAGAAGAAGAAGUGAAUAUGAGGAGGUGAUGAGGUUAGUCUCGGCAUAAUUGGAGGUGGUUCAGAGUCUUUUUCUGGUUAGAGAGACUCUCCGGUGUUGGAGCUAGAUAUCUAUCAGCUCAAAACAUGGAGCAAAACGUGUUGGUUUGCUUGUGUAUUGCUCGGCAGAACUCCCGGGUUUUUAACCUCGUUUGAAAGUGCUAAAAUUCGGUGGGUCCUAAGAUGAUGGGCGUGGAUGCAUUUGUUCCUUUUCGUUCUUUUCCAUUUCCCUCCACUAAUGUCUCAUCUCAUUGGACGGAUGAAAGAGGGGAAGAGUCAAAGAGCCAAUGAUAAUCUCCUUAUCUUAACACUACUCUGGAGUACACUUCGAAGAGCACCAAGAUGCCUUCGACAUCUGUGGUUCUAUAACCGAUAAAAGCCGGCAAAACCACAUGUUCCAGAUCAGUUUAACGGUAAGCCAGAAAACGACAAGUUUGUUCCUGUGGAGAAGACAAAAAUGUUGCGAGGUUUACAUGUUCCUCCUUUCAACAGCAGCAUGAGCACAGCAAGCAGGGGAGAAGAAAUUGGGGGCAAAGAUGGAAAUUUGACAGAAUUUAUUUACUUAUUUUUGGGUCGAAAGACAGACUUUUAGUAGGUGGUGGUCAAUCUUGCCUAUGCAAUUUUAACUGUCCUCAAACAUUUGUAACCACAUGUAUCGAAUAUAUUUGCAUUCACAUUUUAUGGAUCAUGACCUCUUUUGGAUCACCUUUGUUUUUCAUUUUAAGAAGAGAAAAGGAAGAGUAGUCGCAUAACAUUAACUAUUACAACAUAUGGUAUUAGAUCAACUGUAAUUAUUUAGAGUCACAGACAAAUUAUAAAGUAUAAUAUACAUCAUUUGUGUGAAUUUCCACAACGUUGUUAGAUAUUAACAUUUCUUAAAACAUUUAAGAGAAACUAGGAGACCCCACAUCGAACCAACUCGAAAACAAAAGUUUCCACACAAUCAUUUUGUUAUGAUUGGUUUUGACCGUCGCAUCACUUACAAAUUGAAGGGUCAAUAUCAUGAUAAUUUCCGAACUAAUAUAUCUUUAAUAAAUUCAUCAUCGAAUUGAUACAUUUUUAACAAAUUUACCCAAAUUAAUUUUUUGAUCACAAAAGCCGUAAAACUUGUAUACACGUGACAAAUUUAUUAUUAAUUAAUUUCAUGAUAUUUUACUGUCAAAUUACUAAGUUGGAUAAUACAUGACAGUUGACAAAUGUAUCAGUUUGAGGUUUUACCCUCCGUUUGUCAUAAGUAUACUAGUUUGUAAUUUUUUGUGAUAUUAAUCUAAUUUAACGAAAACUAACAAAAAGUAGAUUUAUCACAAAUGUAUCAAUUUUGAAUUUUUUGUGAUUAAAAAAUUAGUUUUAAGUAAAUUUAUCUUAAGUAUACCAGUUUGAGAUUUUUGAUGAUUAAAAAAUUAAUUUAAGAUAAAUUUAUCAUAAAUGUACCAUUUUAAGAUUUUUUAUAAUAUUAAUUGCAAAUUAAAUGUCCACAAAAUUUUCACGGUAUAUACUGGUCUCUUGUCCCGCCCUAAUAAUAAUCCAUGUGCUUGUAACCUCGAUCGCCCAUAGAGAGAGGAAUACACCACCAUGUGAGAUGUUGACCCUUUGAAAACCACGAAAAAUGGGAGAAAAUAUUAGGUAUCCUAAAAGAGGUGGAGGGGAGAACGAGGAGAGAGACAGAGAGGAGAGAGAGGAGAGAGACGGUCUGCAGAGGAGAGAGAGCGAGGGCUUAUGGAAGAGAGAGCAGAGGAGUGCAUGACGACGUGGACCUGACACGGACACGUGUCACACUUUGAAUGGUUCAGAGUAAAAAUGAUGUGAAGGUUUUAAGGUACCCGAUAUUUUCUUUGAAAGAGAAAGACGGGGAUGUGCCUCCACUACACGCGCCUUCAGGGAAAAUGCCGGGGGACAGGUGGAAGCCUUCCAACGUUGAAUGUUGACCGUAGACUUUAUGGCUUUUUAAGUAGGGUUUUGUGUCGGCUUUUGCCUUGUCCCUUUCUUUUAGUUGGGAACAAAGACUUUGGAGAAAUUACUGAUAAAACAAGUGGAAGACUUUGACUUGGCUUGCCCCUCCCUUCACGCCACACGAUGUAACCGUGAUUUCUAUUUUGUGCUCUUCGGCUUCCCAUGCCAUCAAUAAAUCAGGAUUAAAUUCUAAUUUUAAAUUUCGGAUAUGCAAUUCAGAAUUAUAAAAUAUAAUAAGUCCACGAUAAGAUGAAAUAAUUUUUAUCAAGAAUUUUACAAACCAAUCCAUUAUUGAAUAGUAGUAUGGGCGAAAAAUGAGAACUAUUCGUCAAGCUCGUUGAAUUUUAUUCAUCUAUAGUCACGAGUAGGUAUUCAGCACUUUUACUAAUUGUUUAUGGCAGUGUAAAUUAGAAAAUUAAGACAAUAGCACGUAAGUAGGUCUAACCAAAUAUAGUUAAUUUAUCUGUGAUCACAUUAUAUGAUAUGACAAGAUUUUUCAUUGUGCAUACAAUCAAGUAGUAAUGACGACUUAAUAGUGUCUAACGAAAGACUCUUUUCAAGCAUCUUCAACCAUUUUCUCUUACAAUAUCAUCACCACUUGAUAAUUGAGAUUUUCGCGUUGACAUGAUAGUCUAAAUUACCGGAGUUUACAUGCUUCAAAAACAUGGGGCCAACCAUAUGUCCCAUCCGUAACACGCGUGUUUCUUGACAGUGUGGAAAGAGAUGAUCCCCCAGUCCAACAAAAGGACACAAAGUACGGUAAACGAUCUGAAACUCGACUUGCGAAAAAGAAGAGGAGUAAAAAAAGAGUCAAUCAUGACAGCGGAGACCCGUUUUAAUCGAGUUAAGCCAAACACCCACGACACGACUUACUAUGUUUUGGUUAUGUGUUUCUCCCUCCCUCAUUGCCCCAUGGGGGCGUCAUCAUCAGUGUCAUCCUUAGCUAGUAGGUUUUACUGAGGAUGACAUCAGCUAAGGGUGUCUGUGAGGUAUUUACAAAUAUCUAGAAAUUGCUAUCUUAUAAUUAGGUUUUGCAUUGAAAUUGAGAUUAGAGAUUCCUAAGCAUUUCUUUCUCAUGAUUAAGUCUGGCUAUGAAAUUUAUCCCGAUGCUGAUGUUUUGAGAGGCAUGAGGUUAUAAUUCUUUCACGGGUUAAUAUCAUUGAAAAUCUUAAACCGAUAUCUCCAUGAGACAUUCACCUCAAAUUUAUUUCCGUUCCACAAAAAAUCUUUAAGUGGGACCUCCAUGAUACGUUUAAUCCAAACUAAUUUUUGCCUAAUGAAAAAUCCCAAAUUGAUACCGUCGACCCAAAUUUACAUUCUGUUAAUAUACAUAACUAUUAACACAUGUGGAUUUCCCACAUUGGUCUUGUCGAUUCCAUGUCGGAACUGUCUUAAUGUUGUUUGCCACAUGAGAUCCAUCUUGCAAUUGCAAAUGACGUGUGUCAACAUGUAUGCAUAUUAACGGGAUAUUGAAUAAAAUAUUAGCCAAUGGUAGAUUUGAGUUAGGGUACCAAUAUGGAUUCAUUUUUGUAAUGAAAAAUUAGUUUAAGGUAAAUAUGUCAUAAGUUUCAAUUUAGGAGUAUUUGUGAAACAGAAUUUAGUUUGAAAAUAAAUGUGUCAUAAGGCAUCAAUUUGGAAUUUUUAAUGGUAAUAAUCCUUCCUUAUUGCAAAACCCUUCCUUCCCCAACUCAAGUUGCCUCACUUUCGGAAUCAAUGCUGAGCAAGUCUGUCUAAUAAAAUCCUAUGCACAAGGACAUUCUUGGAGCGAAAAGGAAUGUUUAGCAAACAUAAAAGAAAAAGAAAAGAAAGAUAAAAUUCAGCAAAAAUCUUAAAAUUGAAUAAAAGAGAUGUGAUUGGGUUGCAUAAAUUGUUGCAUAAUAUUAGACCCAUCAAAAUAAGUCAUAAACUCAUAUAGAUUGGAUGAGUUGUUACAUAUUUAAGUCAUAUUCAGUAAAUGAGUUAUAAAUUAACUUAAACAUAAUUUGGAUAUUAAAAUAUUCAUAAAUGGGUUUACAACUUAUUUAGAUCAAAUCCGUCUUUAUAAUGCUCUCUUUAUUCUCUCUUGCCCUUACUCAAUCUCAAGCUUGCUCACUUCCUACUCUCUCUUCAUUGUGUCUCUUGUAUUAUGAUAAUAAAAUGAGGCUCUAAAACUAGCUGAAAUUUAUGUAGUCAAGGGUGUUUUUUAAGUCCGUGUGUCCUGAGUGAUCGCAUGAUAACUUUUUACUCAUUCCUAUCUUGACUAUUACUUCUACUCGAGCAGAAAAAACAAGUCUCUGUUCGUUAGUCUUCAUGAAAAAGAAGUCUUUGUUGUAUAGAUUAGCGUGUUGUGCUUGGAGUCGUUGCAACACACUAACGUUUGUGCUUAGAGUUGUUGCAACGCCCUCACGUUUCGUACGUGACAGACAAUGACUGUUCGCCGUGCCCUCCUAUUCUCCAAUGGUACAGCUUCUGAUUAGUUUCCUGAUGUAAUUGGUCGUUUGGUGGAGUUGAGUGCAUGGGCAAAUUUUCCACAGGAUGACCCAGCAAUGACAGAUCGAGCCUUCUAGAUGAGUAAGGAAGAUAAAACUUGGUGACAUCGAGCCCACAUCAUUGAACUAAAAAAAUCCUCAUCGCUAGUUCCAGCGCAUCGUGAGGUCUGUGAUUGAUGGUCCCAAUGAGCCCGAUGCACGGAAGGAAUUCAUCUCGGACCAUAUCAUACGCUUCCCUUCUAUGCAGUGCACACUUACUAAUUCAAUAGGAGUUGUCAGAGCAAAGUUGCCAACACAUCUAGGAAUCUUGCCAAGGCAUAUUACACAAGUAACUAUCAUCGACAUGCUCAGACAUGCUUAGUUAAACAUGUAAAUAUCUUACCUGUGUCAACACAGGUACGAUUAAAUGCAUUUCAAGAUUUUAACAUGUUAAAGACAAUGAGCAUCUAUUGUAAACUAAAGCAGAAAAAACCCAGCAAAGAUCAAAGAACGUAUCUACUCACGCACUAUUAAUUAUUGCGCUCGUCAUCCAAGCAUGCGUAAUGGAGCUCAACAAUCACGCUCUUGUGCUAGUCAAGAUAGUUGGAAUUCUAUUAUCCAAUCGCAGUAAAGUCACGGAGAACAGGAGUGUUGAACUUCUCAUUUCAAACACGGCAGCAACAAAUUCUUUGCUAAAGCUGGGUGGUCAUACUAUUGUUUGUCUAAAGUUGCCAAUAAUCUGACAUGAUUUCCCAUAAAAAAUCCAUCUCUGGCUAAAGUUUCCAGUGGAAUCUGAACUAAUUCCAGAUUCGAGAUUGGAUACUUUGGGCGUGCAUGUUUAUGUUCUUUUUUCUUGUUUAUGAACAAAAAUUUUGUUUUUUUGUUCCCGGAAACAAAAAAAGAACAUAAAUGCAUUUGCUUGCGUUUUUUGUUCAAAAUCUGUUUUUUUGUUCCCGGAACAAAAUUGGAAUGGAAAUAAGAAACAACAAAAAGUUGUUUUUUUGUUCCAAAAAUACUUUUGAAGAAUAAAUUUUCUCUCUCCUUUCUUUUCUUCUCUUUUUUUUCUUCUUCUUUUCUUCUUCUUUUUUCUUUGGCCGGUCGCCGACCUCAGCAUCGCCGGCCCCUGGCGAGGCUCGGCCUUGCCCGCGCCGGCGACGCUCGGCCUCGCCCAAAUCCGGCGAGGCUGAGCCUUGCUAGGGGCCGACGACGCUCGGCCUCGCCGAAUCUGGGCGAGGCCAAGCUCGCCCAGCCAAGGCGAGGCCGAGCUCGCCCAACCAUCGGCGAGGCCGAGCCUUGCCCAGCCAUGGCGAGGCUCGGCCUCGCCAGGGGCCGGCGAGCCUCACCGUGGCUGGGCGAGGCUUCUGGCCCUCGUCGGCCGGUUGACGGCCUCGGCAUGGCCGGCGACCGGCCAAAAGAAGAAAAAAGAAAGGAAAAAAAGAAAAAUAAAUAUUAAAAAAUUAAAAGAAACAAAAAAAGAAUAUAAAUUUACCAAACGUGUUUCUAUUCAUUUUUUUUAUUCCCGGAACAAGUUUACCAAACGCGUCUUUCUGGUCAAAAAUUGUUCCUCGGAACAGAAAUAAUUUUUUCUAUUUUUGUUCCCUUAAACACUUUUUGAACAGAAACACAACAAACGUGCCCUUUGUCUCCACAAACAGCAGUUGUGUAUCCAACUCUCGGUAUUCAGCAAUAGACUCUAGUUCAAUCACAAUAUGAGGGUAAAACGAUAAGUAAUUCCACUAAGAGAGUGCUUUCUGGACAUUAGACUACGAACUCCUAUAAGAGGUUGCAGUAAAGAACGAGUCUGUGAGAAAAUUGAUUUUAGUGUCAAAUACAGUCAAAACAAAUCAUUAACCAGAAAAGCUAAGAUUUCACAAACUCCUUGAUGAGAGAGAGAGAGAGCGUGCUUCAAGCACCUGUAGACACUCGAAACAGAGGAACUCAGACAGAGGAUAUCAUCAUAGCCUAUGGAGAAGAUUAUCACAGAUCUCAACGAGAGACAGAAACAAUGCCUAUGGCGUGCUUCAAGCACAUGGAGACACGCGAAACAGAGGAACUCUUGUUUACUACUCCUAAUGCUUCUGUGGCAAACUUAUUUUGACUCACCAAAGAGUUAUAUCAAAAGACACAUGAAAUACUUCAUGUGCAUGAAUAAUGGCAAUUGUUUCGGAAGUCCAUAGAUGCUGAAUAUUUUGAUUCAAGUGUCUUCAAUUCGAGCUUCAUCAUGAGUGACGAAGUAGCACUAAAUAUAAAAGAUGCUGACUAUGUGUCUAUCGAAGAUUUGGCUGCUUCAAAUAGCAGAACAAUACAUUGGUAAACUAGUUUACGUCUAGAUUCAAAAGAGCGAGAAAUCGAUGUCUUAUAACACUGAAAAAAAUAUCUUUUGCUGAAAUAACUUUUAGUAGCCUGAAAAUCAUGUUAAGGGACAGAUUGGAAGGGCAACUAUACAAUGGCCUUUUCCAAUUAGCAACAAAGGCAAAUUAGGCAUGAAAAUUUGUUGAAGGAAAAAGAUAAGAAGCGGGACAAACAUGAUGUGACCUUCGUGGAGAGGUAUGGACCUAGGGAUGAUCUAGACCAAGGAGAAUAUGCUAAGAUAACAGUAGCUAAUAUGGUUAUUGACAAGUCAUAUAUUUGUCAAGUAUUCAGGCCAGCAUAGAGUUAAAAGAGAAGUUGAAGUAGAACAUCAUGCUUUAGGCGAAAGAUACUUGGUAUUAUUUAAUUCAGGUGAACAAAAUGGAUGAGACUUUUUACUUGCUUCUAGCCGAUGGCCUGAUAAAACUGAUCGAAGGCCAAACCAUACGGAGCAGAAAAGAAUUUGAAAACAAGAAAUAUUGUAAAUGGCGCCACUCAUGGAGCCAUAAUAUUGCCAAUUGCAUUAUUAUUAGAAAGAAUAUCCAAAGAGGUCAUUCCAAUAGGUAAGAUUAAGUUUACCGAUGAAAAAGAAAAGGCUCCAGUGGAGAUAGAUGUUGACCCAUUCCCUCUUAUGAUUGUGGUGUUUGUGAAGCAAAAAGGUAAGAAGCCACGAUAACCAAAAUUGUGUGCUCGUUGCAAGCAAGAAAUAGGUCGAAGCUACUAUACCUUGCGUAAAGAAAAAAUGCCACAAGGAGGAUUCCCUGGCCAAAAUAUAAGGUAUAGUUGUCAAUUGAAUUCUACCAACACUCCUAAUCAUAUCAGUCAAACAAGUCGUCCCAAAGUAUUUGAUUGAGUUGUAUUCCCUAGGGGGUAACUCUAGGGGGUAACUUUAGAAGAAGUCAUUCAAACAAAGGUCUGAAGAAGAGAUCCUACCAUUGAGUAUUAUGUUAGUUACGCAUCUUGAUCACCUUACCACAAGGCAUUGUUCCAACCACAUGGAAUGAAGAGUUUGAUGACAUAUCUCCUAAAGAUACUAGUUGGUCAACACCCUCUCAUCAAUGAACCUAAGGCUGCGUUUGGCAAUUAAGAUUAUUUAGAAUAUAAUAAAAUCUAUUAUAUCUUACGUUUGGUGCCUGCUCAAAGACAAGAUAAAGUUAAAUAUAAGAGAAAUAUAAACCGGAUAAAAUUAUCUCAUGGGGAGAUGGUAUAAAAGUGAAUAUGAUUUAUAAUAUCCAUAAUAAGAAAGUUACUUUUCUCAAACAAUAAAUUUAUUAAAUUAACAAAAUUAAAAUUAAAUUUCAUAAUUGAAUUUUAAUAUAAGAAAUUCAAAUAACAAAAAAUAACAAUUUACUUCUUUUAAUUUAAUCUUUAUUUUAUAAUAUAAUUUCAAUAUAUAAAUAUAAAUAUAUUAUUAAAUUUGUAGGUACAUUUAUUAUAUAUUUUAGUCAUUUAGUAUUUUAGGUAUAUUAUUACUAUUUACUAUUCAAUAAAAUUUUAUUAGAGAAUGAUGGAAGGGGAAGAAAUAAAUAAAAAAGGAAUUAAUUAAAAAAGAGAGGAAAAUAAAAAAUAAAAUAAAAUAAAAUAAAGUAGGCAAGAGUGUCACAAGAGAUUUUUACUAUUUUUUUUUAUAAAAUUUUUGGUUCAUUUAUACUAAUAUCCUGUUUAUACUAUAUAAUGUAUAUAAUAUGAAUUAAAUAUAUCCAAUUUCAUUAUUACAAUCAUCAAAUAAUAGAUAGGAUAUAGCAAAUUCCUAGAUUUUCUAUUCUAUCUUAUCUACUCCUAUUCUGAUUAGAAAUCCAAACAACCAAACAUAACCUUAAAAUAACUCAAAAUUCGCCAGAUGUGCAUUGGUUUGAAGCUAGAUAGAUACAAGGACCAAGGGAUAACAUGUCCAUAACUUAGAAGAGGAAAAUGCAAAGGAAGAAAAAGAUGCUUGAGCUACAACAAGAAGUCAAUCAAGUUCACAGCGGUGGUUUGAAAUCUAAAUAUGAGUAUUCAUUGCCUACUCUCAUUAUCUUCUUUUGAAAUCUGAAUUUAAAAUUUAAGAUAAGUUACUUGCAACUUAAAAUUGAAAACAAAAUAUACGGAGCUCCUUGCAGUUACGUUAUUGUUAAAUGAAAUAGCUAUAGAACUUUGCAAGUCAUUCCAUUAUUAGGUAGUAGUGUGGCUGAAAAUUGAAUACUAUUCGUCGGCACAGGCAAAACCCCAUCCAUCCAUCCAUAAAGUUACAAUCAUGUAUUUCGCAUAUUUAUUAUUUGUUUUUCUGGAGGAAUAUUGGAAAAUAGUACAACAAGAUAAACGUGAGUCUACAAAAAUAUAGCUUAUCUAUCUGCAAUCCUAUUAGUAGGAUCUUUAAUCACCCAUACACUGAACAAGUAGUGGAUACUUAAUGAUGUUUACCGAAAUUCUCGUCUCUCAAACUAUCAGCAUACUAUCGGAAAAAUGAUAAGAUUUCACAUGAACGUAAUAGUCUAAAUUAUUGGCAAUUACAUGCUUCGAUCAAAUUGGGCAAUAGAAAUCUGAUCCUAACCGCACACACGUGAAGCGUAUAGACUCUAUAGAGAGAUGGUCCCUGGCCCUACAAAUGGACACUUUUAGUAGUAAGAUGGAUGAUGUGAAACCUUUGACUUGCUCAAAGAAGGCAAGGGAAAGAAGAGUCAUUUAUCAAAGCAAACCAGCGGUUUUUGUUGACUUCAAACCUAAGAGGCAAGGCUUCAAGAGUAGAUGUUCGGUGCUUGGUAAACACAUUUUGUAAACUUUGAUACCCGAUCUGAAAAGUAAUUUAAAGGAAAAAAAAGAGAGGCUAGAAUGAGCUCGCCUAAGGGCUGUUGCAAACCCAGGAGAGGGCUCCAAGGUUGCGACACCCUAGGCAAGGCAAUACUGGGGUCACGUGACCUUGGCGAGCCUCAUGACAAAUAGAUCUGGAGUGACUGUUGAUGAUAUGGUAUCUUGGCAAGCCCUGUAACCCUUGACGGAUAGAUCUGGAGCUUUGGCGAGCCUCGUGACCGGUGACCGUCCACCCUUGUCGAUCGACGAACAGAUAUGGAGCGAAAUAAUGCCUGUGAGAAGGAGAGACUGUAAACUAGAGGCAAUACAUGCAUACGAGAUUUAAUGAAGGCAAGAACGGGAAAAAAAAAAUCCAUUAAUCCCUGAAAGCGGCAUUUUAAAAAAGAUGAAAGGCCAUGCUAGUCCCAAGUUGGAUUGGGCUUUUCGGCAAUUAUGAAGCUGAACUUUCGCCUGAAGGCUUCUGCGAUUUUGUCACUCAACGCCUCAACUAGGCCUAAGGCACUUUGGAAAUGCUCCCACAAACGCAUCCUUAGAUAUUUAAAUUAUGUUUUUCUCCCUCCCUUCCUUUUUCUCCGGGAAAAUGGUCUUGCUAAUCAUAUCUCCCUGAUUUUUAUGAAUUAUUUUUCUCAUGAUUAGGUCUUGCAUUGAAACUAACUGAGAUUAGAUAUUCUUAGGAAUGGCUUUCUCAUGAUUAAGUCUUACUGUGAAAUUUAUGUUGGGAUAUUAAGGGUGUAUUUGUUAAUUGCCAAAUAGUAUAUGAUUCUAUUUUUUUAUUAUUAAAAAAAGAGAACAGAAAUCCGUUUAGUAACUUUUUUGUUCCCCAUAUCAAAUUUAUUCCCAAGAAUAGAUUUGAAACAAAAUCAAAAAGUAGAAAAAAUUGUUCUUUUAUUCUCGAGAACAACUCUAGUAUCAAGUUCAUUUUCCUUUUUUCCUUUUUUUGUUUUUUUCUUUUCUUCUCCCCUUACUUUCUCUUUGGUUGGUUGCCAACCUAGCUAUCAUUGGUGAUCGGCUAGAUGAGGGCUGGCAACCUUGUCGGAGUGUCGCCGACCCCAGUGAGGCCAACCCUCCCCACUGGCUAGAUGAUCUUGGCCUCACUAAGAUUUGGCAAGAAUGAGCUCGCCCAGCCCCUAGCGAGGCUCAACCUCGCCGAGCCACUAUGAGGUUGGCCUCACCAAGACUAGGCAUCGCCACCCUCACGGUGGCUCAACGAGGGCAAGCCUCGUUGGUAGCUAGAGUAGGCCCGGCCUUGCCUUGGUUGGGCGAGCCUCACCUAGAUCUAGCAAUACCCAACUCACCCGGCCGAGCCUCACCUAACCACUAGGGAUGCUCGGCCAAUGAGACUUAGCCUUGUCGGGGGCCAACAACACUUUAAUGAGGUUGCUAGCCAAAGAGGAAGAAGAGGAAGAAUAAAAGGAAAGAAGAGAAAAAUAUAAUAAAAUUAUUAAGAAAAUAAAAAAAAUUCUAAUUCAUAAAAGAAUUUGAGAUACUACCAAAUACAUUUCUAUCUUAGGAAUAUAAAUUUUAGACAGUUACCAAAUACAUUCAAAUGUUCAAAAACUUUUCUAAGGAACAUAAUAUUAAAAAAAAAAACAUUUUUAAGCAUAAAUUAUUCUUAGAAACAAAAUGAUUAUUAAAUAAGCUCUAAACGUUUUCCAACGGGUUAAGUUCUAAUUCGGUCACCAACUCAGGUAGCUCUUUUUUGGAAUUGGAGCUGAGUAAGACCAUCUAAUAAAUUCCUAUAUGCAAGGAAACUCUAAGAACCCAAAGGAAAUGUUAAGGAAAAAACGAUAAGAUAAACACACCAAAAAUUAUAAAAUCGAUGAAUGAGAUGUAAUUAAGUUCCAAUUUUCUUUUGUUGUUUUGUUUUAUAUAAUGAAGUUGUAAAACUUGUGAAAAUAUUGUAGUCAAAGAUGUCUAUUAACCUCGGCGCUGAUUAAGAAUUGAUACGGACUUUUUUAGAGGCCACAUAGAGAAGCGUCGCGUGGACUGACCAAUGAUGGAAGAUAUAAGCCGGUUCAGCUGGAAAUUCGACAGGACAAGGAUCGAUUCCUUGAACAGUGGACCAAAAGAAACCUUUAAACACUGCACACAAUGAUUCUGACUGCAUAGAACCUGAAAUUUUUUCAGUGCUCCGGACAGAAAGUGGACUCAUGACAAUCCAAAUCCUAACAAAGGCUAAAAACACAGCCCAGGAGUUGCAAGGCAGGAACACCAGUUUGUUUUGGUUAAUGCAGUUUUCAUGUAUUAUCCAACUCACCAGUGGACAAAGCAAGGUUAUAUUUGGUUCAUGAAAACUAAAUAAUUUGAAUUUUUUUUUUUAAAUGAUUACUUUUAUUGCUUAAAGAUACAAUGGAAGGAAAAAUAGUUUAAGAAAGAUGUCCCACGUCAUUUUGUUGUUUAUCGGUAGACUCUAUAAGAAGCUGAUUUCUGACAUGUACUUCGGAGAAAUUGUCCAGAUAGCUUUGUUGAGAAUGGCUGAGGAGUCGGCAUUUUUGGGUGAUAUCGUUCCAAUGAAGCUGAAAAUUCCUUGCAUACUAGGGUACAAUUAUAAAUUUAAUCCUCGCUACUUCUACUGUUGGGAAUAACGGAUCCCCGAAAACCGGAUUCGACACUAAAUCAAACCCCUAAAUCAAUGCGGAAGACGAACCCCAGGAAAAACACGUAUCACCGAUCGUAAAGCACACCACGGAGUCGAACGUACCUUGUUAGCCACAGAUUAGACACCAAUGCCGAAGAGAGGAAGAGAAUUUAUCCCUUGUUCGAUCCGAUGACGCUUGAAGGGGAGAAAACAGUGGUCUUGUGCUUACUGUCCUUUUCUUUUUGUUGGAGAGAGAGCGAGGGAGAGAACGUACGUCGGUUCUGAUUCCAAGAGGUGUAUUCUCUCUCUCUCUCUCCUCCCUUUUAUACCUUCCCCCUCCACGGGCCCUAUUCCUGUGAGCCGGGCCUUUUUGGCCCAGCAUGGGCGGACGGGCCAACUUAGGCCCAUCACUAAUUAAAAAACCAUCAUCUCCCACUCCGAACAGAAUUCUCUUUACCUCUCUUCAACAUUCAUACCGGUGAAUAAUCCGUGCGACCAGCAUACUUUGAGAGCUCGUUGCUAUACAUCUGUUAGGAAUAUGUAGCAGCUCAUAAUUGGGCGUCACACUUUGAGUAGAUUUAGUAUGCAGUACCCUAGAUCGAUCGAUCACAUUUAUAUCUCUCUUGAUCUCUUUUAAACAAUGAUAUAUAUAUAUAUAUAUAUAUAUAUAUAUAUAUAUAUUGUAUUCACAAUUAUGAUUAUCCCAAAGAUAGUCAUAAUUGGUUAACCGGUGAAUACAAAACUACAAUGUGAUUCUCCAAAAUCGAUCUUCCUCUUUCCUUCAAACUCUCAAUUUCAGUUCAGCUUGCUUUUCUAGAAAUGCCCCAUUAGAUCAAAUCAAACUCAUGACCAUUGGCAACAUCAUAAGAUAGCAAACACUAAAUAGAAAUCUUGAAAAUAAGUAAGAGUCAUGAGGGGACUAAAAAAUUGAUGAACUCUUUUCCUCAAGAGUCUCACACGACAUAAAAAAGUUGAGAUCAAACUUUUGCCACUCUUAUUGGUCGUCUCAUGCAUACGUAGUAUGAAAUACGUAUUACGGUAUCAACUCCUUUCCCAUGGAGCGUAUGUUUACACCUUUCAAUACCGUACAGAUGAUAGUUCAGACAUACCCAAUGUCUAACUUGAGUUCACGUAUCUACUCAUUCACUAAAUUCAUCAGAACUCACAUUUGUCAUCAUAGACAGAUAAAGUAAAAUAUGUGGGGUAUUUUACUCUUGGACAUAGUAAGUAUUAUGUUCUCAUCUUAACACCCAGUUAAGGCGACAUACGUGUUUUAAGCUUGAGCUCUCGAUUAUCACCUAGAUAAUAAGCUUAAAAACAGUCUCAUCUCUAUUUAUCACACAGUAAAUAGAGUCGAUUACCCGUGUGAGUGGACUAAUCUCAUAUCUGUCCGACAUACUUUCCUAACUUAAAGUAAUGCACUGAGCAUUAAGAUGCAUAAAGAUCAAACAAAGAUUCAUAGGCAUUAAUGAUGAAAAACAUAAAUUCAUCAUAUGUGAACACUUAGGGAAAAUUAUAAUAUUCAGUACAUUAGCCUCUACGCAGUCCUAGAGAUUUCAUAUGGCCACUAAACACAUCUCUAGGUAUUGGCUUUGUCAUAGGAUCUGCUACCAUUCUAUGCGUAGUAUGUACUAUAAGUUCACAUCUUUUCGUGCAACCAUAUCUUUGACGAAAUUAUACUUGGUAUCUAUAUGUUUGGUCUUGCCAUGAUAUUUUGGAUCUUUGGUGUACACUUUUGCUGCUUGGCUAUCACAGUUAACCAACAAUGAAUCUGCAGCACUUCCAAUAACACCUAAAUGAUCCAAAAAAUCUCUUAAGCCAAACACCUUCUUAUACUGCUGCUGAUAAUGCCACGAACUCAACUUACAUCGUGAACAAGGCUAUACACUUUUGUUUCUUACUGCUCCAACAUAUGGUGCCAUUAUUCGGUAAGAAAACAAACCCAGAGAUAGAUUUUCUUUCAUCUAAAUCUCCUUCCCAAUCAGUAUCAAAAUAGCCUUUGAGUCGCAGAUCCUUUCCUUAAUAACUCAGCAUAUAAUCAGCAGUUCCCUUUAGAUACCAUAGUAUUCUUUUAACGGCUUUCCAAUGUGCUUGACAUGGAUUGGAUUUGUAUCUGUUCACCAUUCCAACUGCAAAACAUAUGUCAGGUCUUGUACACAUCAUAGCGUACAUAAAGCUUCUAACAGCACUAGCAUAAGGAACAUGUUUCAUUUGUUCCUUCUCUUGUGGAGUCCUUGAACACAGUCUAUGUCUCAAUCCUUCACCUUUUGCAAUAGGAGUGUCUAUGGGUUUACAAUCCCAUAUCCUUCAAUUCAAAAUUGGAAGACAACCAACUUUUGACAAUAUUAACAAACUCCAUAUUACUUCCGGCAAUUAGUAUAUCAUCAACAUAUAAUGAUAUGAUCACAAAUUGAUCCUUGGAUAUUUUGAUAUAUAUAUAAUGAUCCUCAUCUAUCAUUGUAAGGUCAUAUGCUAUUAUGGCAUUAUGAAAUCGUAUAUACCAUUGUCUUGACGACUGCUUAAGGCCAUAUAUCGACCCCCAAAGUCGACAUACCUUUUCUUCUUAGCCUUUUACUAUGAAACCAACAGGUUGUUCCAUAUUUAUUUCUUCCUCUAAUUCUCUAUUGAGGAAAGCAGUCUUUACAUCCAUUUGAUGUAACUCAAGAUCCAUACCAAACACUAUUGCCAGAAUUAUGCGAAUCAAGGUAAAUCUCACUACAGAAGAGAAUGUUUCUACAUAAUCAAUUCCUUCCUGUUGAUUAUACCCCUUCGCCACAAGGCGAGCCUUAUGCCUUUCUAUCGAGCCAUCAGCCUUUCGCUUUAUUUUGAGAACCCACUUGUUCCCAAUAGCUCUGCGUCCUUUUGGAAGAUCAACCAGUUCCCAGAUUUGGUUUGAUUUCACUGACUCAAUUUUCUCUUUCAUUGCAUGAAUCCAUUUUUCCUUAUUAGGGCAAUUCAGAGCCUCAUUAAUAUUUCUUGGCUCAUCCUCAUCUUGUGGAGCAAUCAUAAAAGUUUCCCCUUCAAUGUCAAAACGUCGACGGGGAAUACUUUGGCGACUGUCCGCCGUUUGGAAGAUUGUACACUUAGCACAUCAUUUCCCAUUAUGCUCCCACUUGAAUUAGAUAAUGAUGAUGUUGUCUCAUCAUGUGGUUGUAAUUGAGAAUGAGUUGAAUUCAAUUCAUCACUUCUCAUAUUACUCCCACUUGGAUGAACUCCAUUAAUAUCAUUAUCUUGAUCCAAGGUUUCAAAUAGGAAGUAAUCUUCCCUUAUUUCGCCCUUCUUAGGAAAUUCAUCCACUAAGAAUGUGACAUCCCGUGAUUCAAAAUUCAGUUAUUCUCCCACUUUCCUGUUCACCUAUGAACACAUACCAUUUCGAGUGUUCGGAGUAUCUCAUUAAAAUACUCUACUUUUAUCUGGGACUCAAUUUCCCAAACUUGUGAGAGAACAUAUGAGUAUAGGUAGCAUAACCCCAUGGCUUAAGUAAACUUAAGUCCGGUUUCUACCUAUCCAUAACUCAUAUGGAGUGGAACUAAUUGAUUUGGAAGGCACCCGGUUAAGUAUUUAAGCAGCAGUUAACAACGCAUCACUUCAAAAAAAAGUGAUAUGUAAGUUAGCAUACGCCAUCAUGGACCUAACCAUUUCCAGUAGGGUUCUGUUUCUUCUCUCUGCAACACCAUUUUGUUGAGGAGUAUAUGGAAUAGACAAUUGUAUUUCUAUUCCUUUUCACCACAUAAUUUUCUGAACUCAUCAGAUAAAUAUUAUCGACCUCGAUCGGAUCUAAAUACUUUUAUUUUCUUGUCUAAUUGAUUUUCAACCAAGUUCAUAAACCUUUUGAAACAACUUAUGCUUCAGAUUUAUGAGAAAUCAAAUAGACACAUCCGAAUCGAGUAUAAUCAUCUAUUAAAAGUGAUUAAGUAAACAGUCCCAUGCCUUUCUCUCACAUUCAUUGAACCACAAACGUCAUAAUGGAUUAAAUGCAGAAGAACGUUAGCUCUUUUACCUUUUCCAAAUGGUUUCCUUGUCGUUUUCCCUUCUAGGCAAUGCUUACAUAUGGACAAAUCGACUUAUUCAAUAUUGCCCAACAAGCCCUCUUUGGCUAGUCUAUUCAUAUGUUGUUGGCUCAUAUGACCAAGUCUAGCAUGCCACCAUAUUCACAUCAUUAUCAUAUAAGGUAGAAGACGUGAAACAAGGGAAUAACAUAUUGACAUCAUCACAGUCAACAUUUAGUACAAUAAAACCAUUCAGUAAGUGACCACAACCAUAAUAGUUUGUAUCUAAACAAAAAUCUACACCUCUAUUAUGGAAGUUCAUAUAAAAACCAAGCUUGACCAACACCAAAACAGACACUUAAAUUUCGACGAAUCUCCAGAGCAUAUAGAACAUCAAGAUGCGUCCACCAUGCAUGUUCAAUUGGCAGGUGCCAAUCCCUUUAACUUCAGCUCUGGAGUUAUUUCCAAUAUAGAUCCACUUAGUUCCAAUUGGUAUCGUCGGAAUUCCAUGAAGGAUCCUCUAUCCUUUGCUACAUGGUCUGUCGCUCCUGAAUCUACAUUCCACAAAGGAUUGGAUUCAGCCUAUAAUGCAGAACUUGACACAUAAGCAAAGUUCUAAAAUGUACAAGAGGUGCAUGCCUUCUUUGGCUCACGACAGUCGCGAGCAUAGUGACCUCUCUUGUCACAAUUGUAACAUUUCACCCUUGACAUUUUCUUCACUUAAGGACGUUUUCCUCUCUUGUGUUGGUUAACUCUUGAUUUCUUGCAAUAAGGACUUGAUCCUUUGCAUUCCCACAUAUUGAACGAAUCAAUACGUUUGCGCUUCUAGCACAAAGCCCUUUCUAAGCUAGAACCAGCAUUGAAAAUAUCUAUUUUCGGCUCACAUGCCGUCAAGCGGUCCUCUACCAGCUCAAGGUGGCGCACAGCAUCCUCAAGAUCUUCCAUAACAUGGUCAAGAGCUUCUAGUGCUUCUUGCUUUUCCAGCACAUAUUGAAUCUUCAUAUUCAAUAUUUCACAAUUGUUGCCGUUCAUAUCAGCAAUAACGUUCUUAGUUGCUGAAAACAUCGAUCUGAACACAUCAGACAUACAUGCACGAAUUAUUAAUGCAUAUCAUUUAUGCAUCCACUUUUACAUAGACCCAUCAUAUUAAUGAAUAAUUUUAAGUAAGGCUUCAGAAUCAAAAGGUCACUACGUUUCCAAUCAUCCUCCAAAAAUCAUAACUUAAAACUAUCAUUAAUAUGAUUGUCAUAUGCAAAAUCAAUUCUAUGAAGUUACAACAACUUCUAUAACUACCCACAGCUAACUACCCACAGCAAUCAGCAGUAACAGAAAGCAAAUAUUAUCUAACAUCCAAUAAAAUAACAAUGCUUUCACAUAAUACAACUAUACAUUACACUAAGCAAUAUAUACAAAGAAAAAUAUUAACCUGGAAAGAGAUAUUUACAUCCAUAAAAAAUCUCACAAUUAAUCUAAGAAAUAAUUAGGGAAUGUCCCUUCUAAUCUAUUAGUCAAAACAUAUGAGAAAACUGAAGGCACAUUUGCCAACCAUGGAAAAAACUUUUGGAGAGCUUUCAUGUCGCCACCAAGGUGCAUUCACUCUGCGCCAUGUGGUGCUCAAUCUAAGGGUUGAAGUUUUGGCCAACUCAAUCCUAUAGUACUCUCUUACAAAAGCUUCCACUAGCCCCCUGUAAUCCGGGACCACGUUGACCUCCCAUAGCCGAUCUAACACUGCUUGCCAUUCAGGUAGAAGAGUGUUCAUCAAAGCCGGCACCUUCUCAAAGUCUGGCAUAAGAUAACCAUUCCAGAUGAUUUCCUGUAUCAUCUGAUUCACCUUGACCAUGUGUGAUACUAAAUCACCAUCAAGCCACCGAUAAUCAGCUAACUCUUUCAUCAGCCUUUUCAGUCUAGCUCUUCCUUCGUCCGUUCUUGGGAUUGCAGGUAUCCGUGCAUAACGCAUCAUAGUUCCUGCAACAAAUGCAGAACUAAAAUGGAUCACUUAUAACCCAUAAUAAACAAAAUGGAAAAUACAUAAAUUUCCAUGAUUCAUGCAACAAAUGCAGAAUAAAAAUGGAUUACCAACAACCCACACAGACAUAAUUGAAAAAAGAAACAAAUUACUUUUUCUUUUUUCUUUUUUUUUUCGGGUCAACGGUCAAAGUCAACGGGUGAACGGUCAACGGGUCGGGUCAACGGGCGCGCGGGUCAGAGGACCGGUCGGACCGGACGGACUGGUCGGGCCGGUCGGACCGGCCGUGACGGUCGAACGAACCGACCGCACGUGCCGCGCGCGUGCGCUAGCUGACGUCACGCAGACGUCAGCCGGCACGUGCCUUGCGCGUGAGCGUGCUGAGGUCAUGCAGACGUCAGCCGCACGUGCGCGGCAUGCGCCAGGCUGAUUGGGUCAGGUCGGUCGUCGUCGGGUCGGGUCGCCGGCCGGUGACCGGCCGGCCAACCGUCGUCGGCACUGACGUCAUCAAUGACAUCAUCCCGACGGUUAUCGACCAUUGGGUGACGUCACGAUGACGUCAUCGGGUGACGUCAGCACGCAUCGGUUCGCCGACCGGCGCUUGCCGUUUUGCCGGUCGUCGGCGCGCACGUGCCGAUUCGUCACCGGCGCGUGUGGCGCACGCGCUGGCCAUAGCCAGCGCUUCGGGCGCGUGGUGCCCACGCGCAGCGGCUUGUGGCCGCGCGUGUGGGCGCGUGCGGCGUCGUCCGGUGACGCACGACAUGUCGCCGGACUCGUCUCGACGUCGCCUUUCACCCAGUGCCUUGAGAAUUUGAUUCCGACUUACUGAAACUCAGAAAAAUGGCCGAACAACGCUCGGGUGUCGGGAUUUCUCGCCCCGAUCCGUACGGCUGAAAUUUUUUUUGCGAAAAAUCAAGCAAAAAACAUCAAAUUGAUCGGGAAAAACGUGAACUAGGGCUCUGAUACCAAUGUUGGGAAUAACAGAUCCCCGAAAACCGGAUUCGACACUAAAUCAACCCCUAAAUCAAUGCGGAAGACGAACCCCAGGAAAAACACGUAUCACCGAUGUAAAGCACACCACGGAGUCGAACGUAGCUUGUUAGCCACAGAUUAGACACCAAUGCCGAAGAGAGGAAGAGAAUUUAUCCCUUGUUCGAUCCGAUGACGCUUGAAGGGGAGAAAACAGUGGCCUUGUGCUUACUGUCCUUUUCUUUUUGUUGGAGAGAGAGCGAGGGAGAGAAUGUACGUCGGUUCUGAUUCCAAGAGGUGUCUUCUCUCUCUCUCUCCCCCCUUUUAUACCUUCCCUCUCCACGGGCCCUAUUCCCGUGGGCCGGGCCUUUUUGGCCCAGCAUGGGCGGACGGGCCAACUUAGGCCCAUCACUAAUUAAAAAACCAUCAUCUACAUAUGAAAACGAGAUGGUUGGGUUUCCUCAAACUUCCAUCCCAAAUUUGCAGGACUCCUCGGAGGUAUCAGUCCAUCUGCAGCUUAAUAGUAUACCUGUGGCGUCUCUGAUAGCAUUUUCCCUCCCGUUCUGACUAGUACUAAUGAAAAAGUAAUCUCUAAUUUAAUCAGUUGUGCAGUAAAUUCUACUUUUUACAGCGUGGAUUGAUUCUGACGAUUGAAUAUUCGGAGAGUUCAAAUGCAAAUCUGACGGCCCAUGUUUCUGGAACAAUGAAAGAUAGUUCUGUUUUCUCUUAUCUGCAACUAUCUACAGCUGAAUCCAUAAAUCCCUAUUUAAUGCUUCACUUUCCUAAAUUCAGUGCCCAACUUUAGGAAUUGCUGAGCCCCCCUAUAGUUAAUGCUGAUUUGUCCGUCCUUGGAUAUCCGACACCUCCUUGAGAAUGAGUAAAGUUGUAGUCGAUCUAUGCGACAUAGUUGCCUCUCGAGGUUCUCGUCUUGCUGCUGCCAGGAUAUCUGGCAUCUUGAAGAAGCUGGGAAGAGAUACCCUUGGGGACGGGGAGAAGCAGAGAUCAGUUAUAGCAUUAAAUGGAGGGCUGUGAGAGCACUACACCAAAUUGUGGAGCUGCGUGGAGGCCACUCGCAGGGAGUUGCUGGGACCUGAAGGUGUGAAGUUUCUGUGAACACAAUUAUUGUGCAGUCGAAUGAUCACUCGGGCAUUGUAGCUGCCGUUCUCAUGGCCUCUCAUUCACAAUACCUCGAGACGAAGUGACCCUUUUCUGAGCAUAUAAUUUGGGUCUCUUGGGUCUCGUUGUACCAUACUUUGUUGCUGAAGUGACUAUCUCCUUGGAAGUCCAUGUAUCUAGCUCAAAUUGACAUAUCCAUCUCUUAUAUUCUGUACAUUUUAUAGGAUACAUUCGGAAACUAGUCUUAGGCAUGGAUCACUAAUACAUAGUUAGACAAAUCGUUUGAUGCUUGUCUCUCUGUAGGACAAGUUGGAAAAGUUUCCCAAAAGUUGGGAGUCAAAAGCCCUACACUAAGCCCUUGCAACUGUUCUAGUGCUAACAGUCAGUAAGUGUUGCACUCAAGAACAUGAAAAUCGCUGCGUGGCGUUUCCUCGUGCUUGGAAUUUUCAAGCAGUGGGACGACAUCAAACUUGUGUCUGGAUUUCUUCUCGACAUUGUACAGCGGAUCGCUACAUUUGAGCAGCACUUGCAGUACCUCCUUCAUUGUAGGCCUCGUGGAAGGCAGAGUAGCAGUGCAAAAGAUCCCGAGCUUGAAAACAUUGCUUAUUUCAUCUAUGUUUGAGUCGUCCUUGAUCUCCUCAUCUAAUGCGUCAGAUAUCGGGUUACCAUCUUGGAUGUGACGCCAUGCCCAAUCAGCGAGGCACAUGUCUUCGUCCUCGUCGUUAGCCUCUCUCCCAGUGGUUAGUUCCAAGAGAACCACCCCAAAGCUGUAGACAUCGAUCUUCUCGUUGACUCUUGUUGUAUGAGCAUACUCUGUUGUUCAAAAAAAAAAAAAAAAACGGCAAGACAAAACUAAUAUUUCUGCUGGUAGGAUAUGUAAAGUAUGAGGAAGGCAAACUGGCAAAGCUGAAAUGAACUCAUGUUUAAGUAAAUAGACGAACCUGGUGCCAAAUAGCCGAAAGAACCGGCAACGGCUGUCAUGCUAACAGCUUCUCCAGGCUCGGCCAACAUCCUUGCAAGGCCGAAGUCAGCAAUUUGUGCGUUGAACUCUGAGUCUAAGAGAAUGUUGCUCGAUUUCACGUCUCGGUGGAUGAUGGGUGAUGAACAAUCAUUAUGCAUAUAGAAAAGUCCUUUAGCUGCUCCGAGCGCAAUCUGCAACCUUUUGGGCCAAUCCAAGAUCAUAUUGUUGGCGACACCCGAGAUGGGUGACAAUCGUUUCUUCUUGUGAAGCCAACGGUCCAAGCUGCUAUUUUCCAUGUACUCAUACACUAGGAGUUUCGAGUUCUCGCAAGAAAUACAGCAUAACAAUUUGACAAUGUGCCGAUGCUUAAUGUUCCCAAGUAUCUCCACUUCUGCUGCGAAUUGCUUUUCCAGCUUCUCAUUUAACUUUUGGUUAUUUGAAAUCCUUUUCACAGCGACGGCAUCACCAGAAGGAUUCACAAUAAUGCGAUAUACUUUUCCUGAUCCGCCACUUCCAAUCACAUUCGGGUCCUUCAAUCCUGACAGAAUAUUCGAUUCCGUAAAAUUCAAACUUUGGAAUGAAGUCAGUUUCGGAGUCGAAUCAAACCAAUCCCUGUUCUUUCUGGAAGCUCUGAUCGUGAAUAGCACCACCAAGAAAACGCACAUUGCCGCCGCAAUGGCCAAGAUCACGAUAGAGGUGAGAUUGGUCUUGCUCAACCUAUGGGAUUGGGACUUGCAGACAUUGAUCCUCAUGAACGAAUUGGAUGCACAGAGGCCGGGGUUGUGAAGGAAACUGGUGUCAUAUGCAGCGUUCUCUAACUUGGCCGGGAUUGGUCCACUGAGGAGAUUGGAUGAUAAAUUCAGACGGAUCAGAUUCAGUUGGCCGAUUUCAGGAGGAAUCAAGCCGGACAGUCGGUUGUCAGACAGGUCCAACUGCGUGAGCACAGGCAGAAGACCGAUUUUGCUGGGAAUCGGUCCCGAGAUCUUAUUGUGACUGAGAUCCAGAGUGGUCAAGGAUUUCCAUGAAAUGAUGUCUGUGGGAAGAAUCCCGGAAAGCUCGUUCUGACCGAGCAAAAGCGUCAUCAGAGAAGGAAGCUCGGUCAAUUCAGUCGGAACCGUGCCGCUGAGGAGGUUAUUACUAGCAUCAAAUACCUUCAAGUUCCUCCACGAAGACACCGUGCUUGGAAUCUUGCCGAAGAAUUUGUUGUUGCUCAUCUCGAUCCGAGUGAGGUUUGGGGACAGCUCCUUGGGAAGCUCGCCAGUUAAUCCAUUACCACUCAAGAUCAAAGCCGUCAAGUUCCGCGACAUCCAGAGUCCUCCAGGCACAUUGCCGGUGAAUCCAUUGCUGUUCAACAUUGCUGCGGACAAAGAACUGCAAUUUCCAAGUGACUCCGGCAACUUCCCAUUGAGAUUGUUGUGCUUAGUGGCCAACCCAAACAGCGUGCCGCCAUGGCACAGUUGUUUUGGCAAUGCGCCAGUCAAGUUGUUGAAGGACACCUCGAAUCUUCUGAGCGGGGAAAACUUGCCAAAGUCCGGGGGGAUCGUGCCUGAUAGAUUGUUGUUGGACAGCCUGACAUCAGACAAAGCGGGAAGACGCCCAAUACCUUCCGGGAUUCCGCCGGACAAUUGAUUGAACUGUAAAUUCAAGCUGCAUAGAUUCUUGAGCUUCCCGAAAACUUCAGGUAUGUUCCCCAUCAAAUUAUUAACAGACAGAUCGAUCACGCUCAGGUUUGUGGCGCUGACUGCCUGAGGGAUCGACCCAGACACAUUAGUCUGGUCCACGUACAACUCGCUCAAGUUCCUCAGAGCAAAAAUGCUGCCCGGGAUCUCUCCUGUCAGUGGAUUUCUCCCCAAAUCCAAGUGCUCGAGAGCCUCCAAAUCACUGACUGUCUCCGGGAUUUCACCAUACAGGUUCGUCUGUGGCAUCGAGAAGAACCGCAGCUUCUUCAGGGCGGUGAAGUUCUGUGGCAGCUGUGAUGGCACGAACUUGUCAUUGUACCCGAGGCGCAGUUCUUCCAGAUUGGAGAGGCCAAAAAUUUCUUCAGGGUAAGUGCCGUUGUACUCAGACUGCUGAAGGUCAAGGAUCCUCAGCCUCUGCAGCCUCGUGAUUGACGCCGGGACGUCGAAAGAGAAGCUGUUGGCAGCGAGAAUCAGGACCUGAAGAUUGGCCAUGCCAUCGAUAUCAGAUGGAAUUGGACCUUCGAAGUAAUUCUGGGACAGGUCGAGGUACAGGAGCUUGGAACAGUUGUAGAGAACUGUGGGAAACUCUCCAGGAAUAUUGUUGUUGGACAGAUCGAGCCUGGUCAGAUUGUUGAGGUCGCAGAUGAAUGGGGGGAUCGGAUAAUUUAUGUUCAGGUUGGCAAACUUGAGCUCGGUGAUUGAACCGUCUUGGCAGGUGACCUCGGGCCAUGUGCAGUGGGAGGUUGAAUUGGAGGGGACCCAGUUAUCGAGGGAAGAUGGGUCUUGCCAGGUGUGCCUCAGCUUCAAGAGGACUUGCUGUUCUUGAUCCGGGAUUUGAGACUCUGCAACAUGGGAGAGGGAGCAGAGGAAGACGAGACACGGGAUGUAGAAGAAGAAGUGAAUAUGAGGAGGUGAUGAGGUUAGUCUCGGCAUAAUUGGAGGUGGUUCAGAGUCUUUUUCUGGUUAGAGAGACUCUCCGGUGUUGGAGCUAGAUAUCUAUCAUCUCAAAACAUGAAGCAAAAAGUGUUGGUUUGCUUGUGUAUUGCUCGGCAGAAUUCCCUGGUUUUAACCUCGUUUAAAGUGCUAAAAUUCGGUGGGUCCUAAGAUGAUGGGCGGGGAUGCAUUUGUUCGUUUUUGUUCUUUUCCAUUUCCCUCCUCUAAUGUCUCAUCUCACUGGACGGAUGAAAGAGGGGAAGAGUCAAAGAGCCAAUGAUAAUCUCCUUAUCUUAACACUACUCUGGAGUGCACUUCGAAGAGCACCAAGAUGCCUUCGACAUCUGUGGUUCUACAACCGAUAAAAGCCAGCAAAACCAGAUGUUCCAGAUCAGUUUAACGGCAAGCCAGAAAACGACAAGUUUGUUCCUCUGCAGAAGACAAAAAUGUUGCUAGGGCUCCUUUCAAUAGCAGCAUGAGCACAGCAAGCAGGGGAGAAGAAAUUGGGACAAAGAUGGAAAUUUGACAGAAUUUAUUUACUUAUUUUUUUGUCGAAAGACAGACUUUUAUUAGGUGGUGGUCAAUCUUGCCUAUGCAAUUUUAACCGUCCUCAAACAUUUGUAACCACAUGUAUCGAAUAUAUUUGCACUAACAUUUGUGGAUCGUGACCUCUUUUGGAUCAUCUUUGUUUUUCAUUUUAAGAAGAGAAAAGGAAGAGUAGUCGCAUAAUAGUAACUAUUACAACAUAUGCUAUUAGAUUAACCGUAAUUAUUUAGAGUCACAGACAAAUUGUAAAGUAUAAUAUACAUCAUUUGUGUGAAUUUCCACAACUUUGUCAAAUAUUAACAUUUCUUAAAACAUUUAAGAGAAACUAGGAGACCCCACAUCGAACCAACUAAAAAACACAAGUUUCCACACAAUCAUUAUGUCAUGAUUGGUUUUGACUAUCACGUCACUUACAGAUUGAAGGGUCAAUAUCACGAUAAUCCUCGAACUGCUACAUCUUUAACAAAUUUGUCCCCGAAUUAAUACAUCUUUAACAAAUUUAUCCAAAUUAAUUUUUUGAUCACAAAAGACCUAAAACUAAUAUACACGUGACAAAUUUAUUAUUAAUUUCAUUAAAUUUUACUGUCAAAUUUCUAAAUUGAAUAACAAAUUACAGUUGACGGGUAUAUCAGUUUGGGGUUUUACUCUCCGUUUAUCAUAAGUCUAUCAGUUUGUAAUUUUUCGUGAUAUUAAUCUAAUUUAACGAAAAUUAACGAAGAGUAAAUUUAUCAUAAAUAUACAAAUUUAUGAUUUUUUGUGAUUAAAAAAUUAGUUUUAAGUAAAUUUGUCUUAGGUAUAUCAGUUUAGAAUUUUUGAUAAUUAAAAAAUUAAUUUAAGAUAAAUUUAUUAUAAAUAUAUCACUUUAAGAUUUUUUAUAAUAUUAAUCGUAAAUUAAAUGUCCACAAAAUUUUCACGAUAUAUACCGGCCUCUUGUCCCGCCCUAAUCAUAAUCCAUCUGCUUGUAACCAUGAUCGCCUGUAGAGAUAGGAAUACACCACCGCGUGAGACGUUGAACCUGCGAAAACCACGAAAAACGGGGAUGUACCUCCAGAUCUACACGCGGCUUCGGGGAAAAUUCGUGGGGACAGGUGGAAGCCCUCCUACGUUGAACGUUGACCGUAGACUUUAUGGCUUUUUGAGUAGGGUUUUGUGUCGGCUUUUGCCUUGUCCCUAGCUUUUAGUUUGGAACAAAUAAUUUAAAGAAAAUACUGAUAAAACAAGCAACGUGAUGGAAAACUUUGACUUGGCUUGCCCCUCCCUUCACGCCACACGAUGUAGACUGGCUACCAACCGUGAUUUCUAUUUUGUGCUCUCCGUCUUCCCAUGCCAUCAAUAAAUCGGGAUUAAAUUUUAAUUUUAAAUUUAGGAAAUGCGAUUCAGAAUUAUAAAAUUCGGAAUGAAAUAUAAUAAGUUCACGAUAAGAUGAAAUUAUUUUUAUCGAGAAUUUUGCAAACUGAUCCAUUAUUGAAUGGUAGUAUGGGCAAAAAAUGAGAACUAUUCGUCAAACUCAUUGAAUCUUAUUCAUCUGUAGAGUCACGAGUAGGUAUUCGGCACUUCUACUAAUAGUUUAUGGCGGUGGAAAUUAGAAAAUUAAUACAACAUCAUGUAAGUGGGUCUAACUAAAUAUAGUUAAUUUAUUCGUGAUCAGAUUCUAUAAUAUGUCAAGAUUUUCCAUUGUGUAUACAAUCAACAAGUAGUAAUGACGACUUAAUAGUGUCCAACGAAGGACUCUUUUCAAGCAUCUUUAACCAUUUUCUCAGAUUGUCAUCGCCAUUUGAAUAUUGAGAUUUUUGCGUUGACACGAUGGUCUAAAUUACCAGAGCUUACAUGCUUCAAAAAAAUGGGGUAAACCAUAUAUCACAUCCGUAACGCACGUGUUUCUUGACGGUGGGGAAAGAGAUGAUCCCCAGUCCAACAAAAGGACAAAAAGUACGGUAAACGAUAUGAAACUCCACUUGCGAAAAAGAAGAGGAGUAAAAAAAGAGUCAAUCAUGAAAGCGGAGACCCGCCUUUAAUCGAGUUAAGCCAAACAUCCAUGACAUGACUUCCUGUGUUUUGGUAAUGUGUUUCUCCCUCCCUCACUGCCCCAUGGGGGCAUCAUCAUCAGUGUCAUCCUUAGCUAGUAGGCUUUACUGAGGAUGACAUCAAUUAAGGAUGUCCGUGAGGUAUUUACAAAUAUCUAGAAAUUGCUUUCUUAUAAUUAGGUUUUGCAUUGAAAUUUAGACUAGAGAUUCCUAAGCAUUUCUUUCUCAUGAUUAAGUCUGGCUGUGAAAUUUAUCCUAAUGCUGAUGUUUUGAGAGGCAUGAGGUUCUAAUUCCUUCAUAGGUUAAUAUCAUUGAAAAUCUUAAAUCGGUAUCUCCGUUAAACAUUCACCUCAAAUUUAUUUUCAUUCCACAAAAAAUCUUUAAGUAGGAUCUCCGUGAUACAUUUAAUCCAAAUUAAUUUUUGCCUAAUGAAAAAUCCCGAAUCGAUACCAUCGACCCAAAUCUACAUUCUGUUAAAAUACAUAACUGUUAACACACGUGGUAUGUAAUAUGUUGUUUAUACCAUAUAAUGUAUAUAAUAUGAAUUAAAUAUAUCCAACUUUAUUAUUGCAAUCACCAAAUAAUAUAUAAGAUAUAGUAAAAUUCCUAGAUUUUAUAUCAUAUCUUAUCUACUUCUAUCCUAAUUAGAAAUCCUGACAACCAAAUGUAACCUUAAAGUGCCUCAAAAUUCGUCAAAUGUGCAUUGGUUUGAAGCUAGAUAGAUACAAGGACCGGGGGAUAACAUGUCUAUAACUUAGAAGAGGAACAUGCAAAGGAAGAAACAGAUGCUUGAGCUACAACAAGAAAUCAAUCAAGUUCACAUUAGCCAGGUUAGUCCAACUCUCACGGCAUACUAUAAACCAAAGAAAUUCAAAGCGGUGGUUUGAAAUUUAAAUAUGAGUAUUCAUUGCCUACUAUCAUUAUCUUCUUUUGAAAUCUGAAUUUAAAAUUUAAGAUAAGUUACUUGCAACUUAAAAUUGAAAACAAAAUAUACGGAGCUCCUUGCAGUUACGUUAUUGUUAAAUGAAAUAGCUAUAGAACUUUGCAAAUCAUUCCAUUAUUAGGUAGUAGUGUGGCUGAAAAUUGAAUACUAUUCGUCGGCACAGGCAAAACCCCAUCCAUCCAUUCAUAAAGUUACAAUCAUGUAUUUCGCAUAUUUAUUAUUUGUUCUUCUGGAGGAAUAUUGGAAAAUAGUACAACAAGAUAAACGUAAGUCUACAAAAAUAUAAUGUAUCUAUCUGCAAUCCUAUUAGUAGGAUCUUUAAUCACCCAUACACCGAACAAGUAGUGGAUACUUAAUUAUGUUUACCGAAAUUCUCGUCUCUCAAACUAUCAGCAUACUAUCGGAAAAAUGAUAAGAUUUCGCAUGAUCGUAAUAGUCUAAAUUAUUGGCAAUUAUAUGCUUCGAUUAAAUUGGGCAAUAGAAAUCUGAUCCUGACCACACACACGUGAAGCGUAUAGAAUCUAUAGAGAGAUGGUCCCUGGCCCUACAAAUGGACACUUUUAGUAGUAAGAUGGAUGAUGUGAAACCUUUGACUUGCUAAAAGAAGGCAAGGGAAAGAAGAGUCAUUUAUCAAAGCAAACCAGCGGUUUUUGUUGACUUCAAAUCUAACAGGCAAGGCUUCAAGAGUAGAUGUUCGGUGCUUGGUAAACACAUUUUGUAAACUUUGAUAUCCGAUCUGAUAAGUAACUUAAAGGAAAAAAAAAGCUAGAAUGAGCUCGCCUACGGGCCGUGUGAGCCCAGGAGAGGGCUCCAAGGUCGCGACACCCUAGGCAUGGCAAUACCGGGGUCAUGGGACCUUGGCGAGCCUCAUGACAAAUAGAUCUGGAGUGACCGUUGAUGAGCAGAUAUGGUAUCAUGGCAAGCCCUGUAAACCCUUGACGGAUAGAUCUGGAGCUUUGGCGAGCCUCGCGACCGGUGACUGUCCCCCCUUGUCGAUCGACGAACAGAUAUGGAGCGAAACAAUGCCUGUGAGAAGGAGAGACUGUAACUAGAGGCAAUACAUGCAUACGAGAUUUAAUGAAGGCAAGAACGGGGAAAAAAAAAAAAAUUCCAUUAAUCCCUGAAAGCGGCAUUUUAAAAAAGACGAAAGACCAUGCUAGUCCCAAGUUGGAUUGGGCUUUUCGGCAAUUAUGAAGCUGAACUUUCGCCUGAAGGCUUCUGCGAUUUUGUCAAUCAACGCCUCAACUAGGCCUAAGGGACUUUGGAAAUGCUCCCACAAACGCAUCCUUAGAUAUUUAAAUUAUGUUUUUCUCCCUCCCUUCCUUUUUCCCCGGGAAAAUGGUUUUGCUAAUCAUGUCCCUGAUUUUUAUGAAUUAUUUUUUUCAUGAUUAGGUCUUGCAUUGAAACUAACUAAGAUUAGAUAUUCUUAAGAACGGCUUUCUCAUGAUUAAGUCUUACCGUGAAAUUUAUGUUGGGAUAUUAAGGGUGUAUUUGUUAAUUGCCAAAUGGUAUAUGAUUCUAUUUUUUUAUUAUUCGAAACAAAAAAAAGGAACGGAAAUUCGUUUAGUAACUUUUUUGUUCCACAUAUCAAAUAUGUUCUCGAGAAUAGAUUUGGAACAAAAUCAAAAACUAGAAAAAAUUAUUUUUUUUUAUCCUCGAGAACAACUCUAGUAUCAAGUUCAUCUUCAUUUUUUCCUUUUUUUUCUUUUCUUUUUUCCUUUUCUUCUCCCCCUACUUUCUCUUUGGUUGGUUGCCAACCUAGCUGUCAUUGGUGAUCGGCUAGAUGAGGGCUGGCAUCCUAGUCGAAGUAUCGCCGACCCCAGUGAGGCCAACCCUCCCCACCGGCUAGAUGAUCUUGGCCUCACUAAGAUCUGGUAAGAAUGAGCUUGCCCAACCCCUAGCAAGGCUCAACCUCCCUGAGCCACUAUGAGGUUGGCCUCACCAAGGCCGGGCGACGCCGCCCUCGCGGUGGCUUAAUGAGGGCAAGCCUCGUUGGUAGCUAGAGUAGGCCCGGCCUUGCCUUGGUUGGACGAGACUCACCUAGAUCUAGCAAGACCCAGUUCACCCAGUCGAGCCUCACCUAACCACUAGGGAUGCUUGGCCAAUGAGGCUCAGCCUUGUUGGGAGCCAACAACACUUCGAUGAGGUUGCUAGCCAAAGAGGAAGAAGAGGAAGGAUAAAAGGAAAGAAGAGAAAAAUAUAAUAAAAUUAUAAAGAAAAUAAAAAAAAAAAUCUAAUUCACAAAAGAAUUUGAGGUACUACCAAGUACAUUUCUAUCUCAGGAAUAUAAAUUUUUUACAGUUACCAAAUACAUUCAAAUGUUCAAAAACUUUUCCAGGGAACAUAAUUAAAAAAAAAAAUCAUUUUUAACCCGAAAUUAUUCCUAGAAACAAAAUGAUUAUUAAAUAAGCUCUAAACGUUUUCCGACAGGUUAAGUUCAAAUCCGGUCACCAACUCAGGUAGCUCUUUUUUGGAAUUGGAGUUGAGUAAGACCAUCUAAUAAAUUCCUAUACAAGGAAACUCUAAGAACCCAAAGGAAAUGUUAAAGGAAAAAACGAUAAGAUAAACACACCAAAAAUUUAAAAAAAAUCGAUGAAUGAGAUGUGAUGAAUGAGAUGUAAUUAAGUUCCAAUUUUCUUUUGUUGUUUUGUUUUAUAUAAUGAAGUUGUAAAACUUGUGAAAAUAUUGUAGUCAAAGAUGUCUAGUAACCUCGGCGCUGAUUAAGAAUUGAUACGGACUAGGCCACAGAGAGAAGCGUCGCGUGGACUGACCAAUGAUGGAAGAUAUAAGCCGGUUCAGCUGGAAAUUCGACAGGACAAGGAUCGAUUCCUUGAACAGUGGACUAAAAGAAACCUUUAAACACUGCACACAGUGAUUCUGACUGCAUAGAACCUGAAUUUUUUUUCAGUGCUCCGGACAGAAAGUGGACUCAUGACAAAUCCUAACAAAGGCUAACAACACAGCUCAGGAGUUGCAAGGCAGGAAAACCAGUUUGUUUUGGCUAACGUAGUUUUCAUGUAUUAUCCAACUCAGCAGUGGACAAAGCAAGGUUCUAUUUGGUUCAUGAAAAAUAAAUAAUUUGAUAAAUAUUUUUUAAAAAAUGAUUACUUGUAUUGCUUAAAGAUACAAUGGAAGGAAAAAUAGUUUAAGAAAGAUGUCCCACGUCAUUUUGUUGUCUAUCGGUAGACUAUAAGAAGCUGACUUCUGACAUGUACUUCGGAGAAAUUGUCCAGAUAGCUUUUUCGAGAAUGGCUGAGGAGUCGGCAUUUUUUGGUGAUAUCGUUCCAAUGAAGCUGAAAAUUCCUUGCAUACUAGGGUACAAUUAUAAAUUUAAUCCUCGCUGCUUCUACAUAUGAAAACGAGAUGGUUGGGUUUCCUCAAACUUCCAUCCCAAAUUUGCAGGACUCCUCGGAGGUAUCAGUCCAUCUGCAGCUUAAUAGUAUACCUGUGGCGUCUCUGAUAGCAUUUUCCCUCCCGUUCUGACUAGUACUAAUGAAAAAGUAAUCUCUAAUUUAAUCAGUUGUGCAGUAAAUUCUACUUCUACAGCGUGGAUUGAUUCUGACGAUUGGAUAUUCGGGGAGUUCAAAUGCAAAUCUGAUGGCCCAUGUUUCUGGAACAAUGAAAGAUGGUUCUGUUUUCUCUUAUCUGCAACUAUCUACAGCUGAAUCCAUAAAUCCCUAUUUAAUGCUUCACUUUCCUAAAUUCAGUGCCCAACUUCAGGAAAUGCUGAGCCCCCUAUAGUUAAUGCUGAUUUGUCCGUCCUUGGAUAUCCGACACCUCCUUGAGAAUGAGUAAAGUUGUAGUCGAUCUAUGUGACAUAGUUGCCUCUCGAGGUUCUCGACUUGCUGCUGCCAGGAUAUCUGGCAUCUUGAAGAAGCUGGGAAGAGAUGCCCUUGGGGACGGGGAGAAGCAGAGAUCAGUUAUAGCAUUAAAUGGAGGGCUGUAAGAGCACUACACCAAAUUGUGGAGCUGCGUGGAGGCCAUUCGCAGGGAGUUGCUGGGACCUGAAGUGUGAAGUUUCUGUGAACACAAUUAUUGUGCAGUCGAAUGAUCACUCGGGCAUUGGAGCUGCCGUUCUCAUGGCCUCUCAUUCACAAUACCUCGAGACAAAGUGACCCUUUUCGGAGCAUAUAAUUUGGGUCUCUUUGGGUCUCGUUGUACCAUACUUUGUUGCUGAAGUGACUAUCUCCUUGGAAGUCCAUGUAUCUAGCUCAAAUUGACAUAUCCAUCUCUUAUAUUCUGUACAUUUUAUAGGAUACAUUCAGAAACUAGUCUUAGGCAUGGAUCACUAAUACAUAGUUAGACAAAUCGUUUGAUGCUUGUCUCUCUGUAGGUCAAGUUGGAAAAGUUUCCCAAAAGUUGGGAGUCCAAAGCCCUACACUAAGCCCUUGCAACUGUUCUAGUGCUAACAGUCAGUUAGUGUUGCACUCAAGAACAUGAAAAUCGCUGCGUGGCGUUUCCUCGUGCUUGGAAUUUUCAAGCAGUGGGACGACAUCAAACUUGUGUCUGGAUUUCUUCUCGACAUUGUACAGCGGAUCGCUACAUUUGAGCAGCACUUGCAGUACCUCCUUCAUUGUAGGCCUCGUGGAAGGCAGAGUAGCAGUGCAAAAGAUCCCGAGCUUGAAAACAUUGCUUAUUUCAUCUACGUUUGAGUCGUCCUUGAUGUCCUCAUCUAAUGCGUCAGAUAUCGGGUUACCAUCUUGGAUGUGACGCCAUGCCCAAUCAGCGAGGCACAUGUCUUCGUCCCCAUCGUUAGCCUCACUCCCAGUGGUUAGUUCCAAGAGAACCACCCCAAAGCUGUAGACAUCGAUCUUCUCGUUGACUCUUGUUGUAUGAGCAUACUCUGUUGUUCAAAAAAAAAAGGCAAGACAAAACUAAAUAUUUCUGCUGGUAGGAUAUGUAAAGUAUGAGGAAGGCAAACUGGCAAAGCUGAAAUGAACUCAUGUUUAAGUAAAUAGACGAACCUGGUGCCAAAUAGCCGAAAGAACCGGCAACGGCUGUCAUGCUAACAGCUUCUCCAGGCUCGGCCAACAUCCUUGCAAGGCCGAAGUCAGCAAUUUGUGCGUUGAACUCUGAGUCUAAGAGAAUGUUGCUCGAUUUCACGUCUCGGUGGAUGAUGGGUGAUGAACAAUCAUUAUGCAUAUAGCAAAGUCCUUUAGCUGCUCCGAGCGCAAUCUGCAACCUUUUGGGCCAAUCCAAGAUCAUAUUGUUGGCGACACCCGAGAUGGGUGAUGAUCGUUUCUUCUUGUGAAGCCAACGGUCCAAGCUGCUAUUUUCCAUGUACUCGUACACUAGGAGUUUCGAGUUCUCGCAAGAAAUACAGCACAACAAUUUGACAAUGUGCCGAUGCUUAAUGUUCCCAAGUAUCUCCACUUCUGCUACGAAUUGCUUCUCCAGUUUCUCAUUUAACUUUUGGUUAUUUGAAAUCCUUUUCACAGCGACGGCGUCACCAGAAGGAUUCACGAUAAUGCGAUAUACUUUUCCUGAUCCACCACUUCCAAUCACAUUAGGCUCCUUCAAUCCCGACAGAAUAUUCGAUUCUGUAAAAUUCAAACUUUGGAAUGAAGUCAGUUUCGGAGUUGAAUCAAACCAAUCCCUGUUCUUUCUGGAAGCUCUGAUCGUGAAUAGCACCACCAACAAAACACACAUCGCUGCGGCAAUGGCCAAGAUCACGAUCAAGGUGAGAUUGGUCUUGCUCGAUCUCUGGGAUUGGGCGUUGCAGACAUUGAUCCUCAUGAACGAAUUGGAUGCACAGAGGCCGGGGUUGUGAAGGAAACUGGCGUCAUAUGCAGCGUUCUCUAACUUGGCCGGGAUUGGUCCGCUGAGGAGAUUGGAUGAUAAAUUCAGACGGAUCAGAUUCAGUUGGCCGAUUUCAGGAGGAAUCAAGCCGGACAGUCGGUUGUCAGACAGGUCCAGCUGCGUGAGCACAGGCAGAAGACCGAUUUUGCUGGGAAUCGGUCCCGAGAUCUUAUUGUGACUGAGAUCCAGAGUGGUCAAGGAUUUCCAUGAAAUGAUGUCUGUGGGAAGAAUCCCGGAAAGCUCGUUCUGACCGAGCAAAA